rnacentral:rRNA from 1 species
GCGGAGGAAAAGAAACCAACAGGGAUUGCCUCAGUAGCGGCGAGUGAAGCGGCAAAAGCUCAAAUUUGAAAUCUGGCGUCUUUGGCGUCCGAGUUGUAAUUUGAAGAAGGUAUCUUUGGGCCCGGCUCUUGUCUAUGUUCCUUGGAACAGGACGUCACAGAGGGUGAGAAUCCCGUGCGAUGAGAUGACCCGGGUCUGUGUAAAGUUCCUUCGACGAGUCGAGUUGUUUGGGAAUGCAGCUCUAAGUGGGUGGUAAAUUCCAUCUAAAGCUAAAUAUUGGCGAGAGACCGAUAGCGAACAAGUACAGUGAUGGAAAGAUGAAAAGAACUUUGAAAAGAGAGUGAAAAAGUACGUGAAAUUGUUGAAAGGGAAGGGCUUGAGAUCAGACUUGGUAUUUUGCAUGCUGCUCUCUCGGGGGCGGCCGCUGCGGUUUACCGGGCCAGCAUCGGUUUGGAGCGGCAGGAUAAUGGCGGAGGAAUGUGGCACGGCUUCUGCUGUGUGUUAUAGCCUCUGACGAUACUGCCAGCCUAGACCGAGGACUGCGGUUUUUACCUAGGAUGUUGGCAUAAUGAUCUUAAGUCGCCCGUCUUGAA